rnacentral:rRNA from 1 species
UACGAAGGGGGCUAGCGUUGCUCGGAAUUACUGGGCGUAAAGCGCACGUAGGCGGUCUUUUAAGUCGGGGGUGAAAUCCAUGGAGCUCAACUCCAGAACUGCCUUCGAUACUGGAAGACUUGAGUCCGGAGAGGGUGAGUGGAACUGCGAGUGUAGAGGUGAAAUUCGAUGAGAUAUUCGCAAGAACACCAGUGGCGAAGGCGGCUCACUGGCCCGUACUGACGCUGAGGUGCGAAAGCGAUGG